CUUUUAUACACACAUACUCCCUCCGUCCCAAAAACAUCUUAUAUGAAUUUUUUUAUAAUUAGUAUUUUCAUUAUUAUUAGAUGAUAAAACAUGAUUAAUAUUUUAUGCGUGACUUGUCUUUUUAAUUUUUUUCAUAAUUUUUUCAAAUAAGACGGACAGUCAAACGUUGGACAAGUCAAACGUUGGACACAUAGAAA
rnacentral:pre_miRNA from 1 species